UACGGGGGGGGGCACGCGUUGUUCGGAAUUAUUGGGCGUAAAGGGCGCGUAGGCGGCCUUGCAAGUGACGGGUGAAAUCCCUCGGCUUAACCGAGGAACUGCCUGUCAAACUGCAUGGCUUGAGACCGGGAGAGGUGAGUGGAAUUCCCAGUGUAGCGGUGAAAUGCGUAGAUAUUGGGAGGAACACCAGUGGCGAAGGCGGCUCACUGGACCGGUACUGACGCUGAGGCGCGAAAGCGUGGGGAGCAAACAGG
rnacentral:rRNA from 1 species